rnacentral:rRNA from 1 species
CCAGACUCCUACGGGAGGCAGCAGUGAGGAAUAUUGGUCAAUGGGCGGAAGCCUGAACCAGCCAAGUCGCGUGAGGGAUUAAGGCCCUGCGGGUCGUAAACCUCUUUUGCCGGGGAGCAGUGGUCCGGACGCGUCCGGACCGGGAGAGUACCCGGAGAAAAAGCAUCGGCUAACUACGUGCCAGCAGCCGCGGUAAUACGUAGGUGGCAAGCGUUGUCCGGAUUUACUGGGUGUAAAGGGCGUGCAGCCGGGAAGACAAGUCAGAUGUGAAAUCCCGCGGCUCAACCGCGGAACUGCAUUUGAAACUGUUUUUCUUGAGUAUCGGAGAGGUAAUCGGAAUUCCUAGUGUAGCGGUGAAAUGCGUAGAUAUUAGGAAGAACACCAGUGGCGAAGGCGGAUUACUGGACGACAACUGACGGUGAGGCGCGAAAGCGUGGGGAGCAAACAGGAUUAGAUACCCCCGUAC